GGGCCAUUAGCUCAGCUGGUAGAGCAGCUGACUCUUAAUCAGAAGGUCACAGGUUCGAUCCCUGUAUGGCCCACCA
rnacentral:tRNA from 1 species